rnacentral:rRNA from 1 species
AUACGGAGGGAGCGAGCGUUAAUCGGAAUUACUGGGCGUAAAGCGCGCGUAGGCGGCUUUGUAAGUCGGAUGUGAAAGCCCAGGGCUCAACCCUGGAAUUGCAUUCGAUACUGCAUGGCUAGAGUAUGGUAGAGGGAAGUGGAAUUUCCGGUGUAGCGGUGAAAUGCGUAGAUAUCGGAAGGAACACCAGUGGCGAAGGCGACUUCCUGGGCCAAUACUGACGCUGAGGUGCGAAAGCGUGGGGAGCAAACAGGAUUAGAAACCCCGGUAGUCC